GCGCAAAGAAAGAUGUAAACAAAUCCAACAAUUUGGUUGUCGGACAAGAUUAAAAGUUGUAUUACUGCAUAAAACGCUACAUUCUGUCUAUCGAAUAAUCAAACUUGUCAUAUGAGAUUUACUCCUAAUUUGCUGAGAUUUCCUCAUGUGCUUGUAUAGGUUGUCUUACUAGAAAGAAUGGCAGACAAUUAUCAUGUGCUGGAGCUUAUUGGAGAAGGUUCCUUCGGGAAGGUUUAUAAGGGAAGGAAGAAAUAUACAGGACAGAUUGUUGCAAUAAAGUUUAUUCCAAAGGUAGGAAAGCCGGAGAAAGAGUUGAGGAAUUUACGUAGAGAGAUAGAUAUCAUGAGACACCUUCAUCAUGAGAACAUUAUAGAAAUGUCAGACAGUUUUGAUACUGACAA